rnacentral:rRNA from 1 species
CUAGUAUCGCUGCGUGAAUACAUAGCGCAGCGAGGCGAACCGGGGGAACUGAAACAUCUAAGUACCCCGAGGAAAAGAAAUCAACCGAGAUUCCGAAAGUAGCGGCGAGCGAAAUUGGACUAGCCCUUAAGCUUUUUAUGCGUCAGGUGAAACUUCUGGAAAGUUGUGCGAUACAGGGUGAUAGCCCCGUAACCGGCAACGCAUNUAAAGUGAAAUCGAGUAGGGCGGGACACGUGAUAUCCUGUCUGAAUAUGGGGGGACCAUCCUCCAAGGCUAAAUACUACUGACUGACCGAUAGUGAACCAGUACCGUGAGGGAAAGGCGAAA